CUGCUGCCUCCCGUAGGAGUCUGGUCCGUGUCUCAGUACCAGUGUGGGGGACCUUCCUCUCAGAACCCCUACGCAUCGUCGCCACGGUGGGCCGUUACCCCGCCGUCUAGCUAAUGCGCCGCAUGCCCAUCCUCUUCCGAUGAAUCUUUCCUCGAUCUCGGAUGCCCGAAACCGAUAUACGCGGGAUUAGCCUCCCUUUCGGAAGGUUGUCCCCCUGAAGAGGGCAGGUUGCAUACGUGUUACUCACCCGUGCGCCGGUCGCCGG
rnacentral:rRNA from 1 species